GCAAUAAGUGGUACAAUACUCUCUCAAGAUGCUUUGCAGUAGCAGCGAGCCACAGCUCUUAGUCAGCCAGAUCAGCAGAAGAGGAAACACUGAAUACUUGGUAUCUUCCUAAAGAACACUAUGCUUGCUAAACCAUCGGUGAGUGUCGCAUUCCUCAGCACCUUCUACCUGGUAUUCCCCAACCCUCAUCAGAAGAGAAAGAAUCUGGUACUCAUUCUCUGUUGCAACCCCAUCAUCCAGCAAUUAAUUACAGUUCAAGUCUUCAAGCAUUCUUCAGACCUAGUGUACUUUCUGCUAUGUAUGUUAAUGGCACACAAGAGAUGACAUUAAUAGAUGAAAGUGAGGCUACUCUUGCCACAUUAUCAGAAAGAAAUUUUGAGCAGCACUGACUUACAAUGGGGAAGAAAAUACUUGUCUCUUCUUUGUUGCUGACUCAAAGGUCCGAUCCCCUGACUGGAAGCUAACCUUGGCUAGAUUCCCAGAAUUGUCUCUUCUAUUCCCACAACCAACCUUUUUCAAAGACUUCAGAAGACUGGAUCAACAUUUUUGCCUAUGUUGGAUGACUCACAGAAGCACACACUAUAUAGUAUAGUGAUUUUAUGGCCUUUCUUCUAAACCCAGACUUGCUUAGUUAUGUAUUCUUUAAUGGGCCAAGAGUGCUACAACUUCCACUCUGCUCUACCAGCAGCCACAGGCUUGGAUUUCUAUCAAUAAUUAAAUUUAUUAAAUGUAAUAGCCUUUAGCAAGCACCAAGUUUAGUUAGCUAAAGCUUAAAAGAACGGCCUACAUAGUAUCCACAGUCAGACUAUAGUGGAAGUAUGUGAUCCCUAGACUCAGCUUCUGGUGUCCCAGUCAUUUUAUGCUAAGGAAUGAGGUUGAAUAUGUGCAGACAACCUCAGCUCAGGGAAGCCAAUAAGCUCUAGGGUCCCUUUAGCCUUUAAUAACAAGAUAAUCACAUGGCCCUUCCAAUAUAUAUGACCAGGGGUCCAUGACCAACUUCCAUCUACAAAUGCCGUUGUGUGUCAUCAAAGCUGGUUUCUCCUUAUUUAAUAAACAAUGUUGACAGUG